rnacentral:rRNA from 1 species
GGACUACCGGGGUAUCUAAUCCUGUUUGCUCCCCACGCUUUCGCGCCUCAGCGUCAGUUACUGACCAGAAAGCCGCCUUCGCCACUGGUGUUCCUCCACAUCUCUACGCAUUUCACCGCUACACGUGGAAUUCCGCUUUCCUCUUCAGUACUCAAGUUCCCCAGUUUCCAAUGACCCUCCCCGGUUGAGCCGGGGGCUUUCACAUCAGACUUAAGGAACCGCCUGCGCGCGCUUUACGCCCAAUAAUUCCGGACAACGCUUGCCACCUACGUAUUACCGCGGCUGCUGGCAC